rnacentral:sRNA from 1 species
UUCCUUUCCUCCCGUCGUUCAUGCUCGUGCCAGUUCGGAUUUCGCCCCUCCUCGUCACACGAACUGCAUACAUCCGUAUAUGAGGGGCCCUCCCCCAUGUAUAUAUAUCCUUCAUCCAACCUCCCAGCCACCUCCUCGCUCUCUCUAGUCCCUACCAGCCAAGGCGUGAUGAGCGAUGAGUGAUGAAUCAAAGGAACAGAGCAAAACCGAAAAAAAGAAACCAUAACUAUCUAUUGACCAGAGUUUUAGUCAGCUAACAAUUCUUCCUCCUCCUCCUCGUCGUCGUCGUCUCCCGUUUUUGAUACAUACGAUAUGAUAGUUAUCCUGCUCAAUCAUUCAAUCAUCCCGGUCCAACCAGCUACCGGCCGGAUGCACUUCCCGUUACAUAUGCACGUAUGUGUACAGCACCUCCCUAGAUAGGGCUAGGGCGGGCCUACCUGCCGCUGUCCCUCCUACAUCCUACAUCCCCCGCUAUCCUCCUCGGUCUAUCUAUCGCUCUCUCUCUCUCUCUUUCUGUGUGUGAGUGGGUCUGUUUACUUGUUUUUAUCCGGUGAUACUUAUCGAGCUUCUCUCGAUAAGAUAACAUACAUCGCUGCUAACCCGCUAACCCGCUAAACCCCCGCUGCGACCUCUUGCUUGUUAAAAAAACACCUUCGAUCUCGAUACACGAAUACCAAUUCCGCUCUUCUGCUGCAUAAGCCGAAUUGUGUCUCUCCCAACCAAACCUCGCCGCGCCAUGGAUUGUUGGUUGGUAUGGGUAUGGGAGGGGGCCGAAGGAUAUUUUUCCGAACAAGUGCGGGAAGGCAAGGUAGGGAGGGAGGUGAGGAAGAGUAGAAUCGAAGAGUUAAGGCGCAUUGGCCAGUUUUUUCUUCCAUACUAACAAACUCAUGUUAAGUUACUACAGCGUAGCUAUGACUCGAUUAAAUUGUUGUGAUGAGUUUUGAACUAGUUCACCUCGUCAAGUGACUAACUUUGCUUUCCCUUGCCUUGCCUUUCCUUGCUUUCGUGAUGUGAUGUGAUGUGAUGGCUUUUUUUCAAGUUCUUUUUCGUUUCUUGAUGGGAUCUAUCUUCCUUCUUCGGCGAACUUGUUGGAGCAGC